CCUGAUACGUGAGUUUGAAUGAGAAUGCACGCCUUGGCGGUAAUGCAUAGACGGACAUUAUGUGAAAAUGUGGACAGUGCCAAAAUAAAGGUGCCUAUUUAUACAGAUAUCGAUAUUUUGCAUGUGGCGUCGAUGCAUCGUAUCGUCAGACAUCGUAUCGAUGUAUCGAUCCAUAUCGAUGAAUCGUUACACCCCUAAUCAGUAAUAAACGAAAA